GAUGAACGCUGGCGGCGUGCCUAAUACAUGCAAGUCGAGCGAACAGACGAGGAGCUUGCUCCUUUGACGUUAGCGGCGGACGUGUGAGUAACACGUGGAUAACCUACCUAUAAGACUGGGAUAACUUCGGGAAACCGGAGCUAAUACCGGAUAACAUGUUGAACCGCAUGGUUCAACAGUGAAAGACGGUCUUGCUGUCACUUAUAGAUGGAUCCGCGCCGCAUUAGCUAGUUGGUAAGGUAACGGCUUACCAAGGCAACGAUGCGUAGCCGACCUGAGAGGGUGAUCGGCCACACUGGAACUGAGACACGGUCCAGACUCCUACGGGAGGCAGCAGUAGGGAAUCUUACGCAAUGGGCGAAAGCCUGACGGAGCAACGCCGCGUGAGUGAAGAAGGUCUUCGGAUCGUAAAACUCUGUUAUUAGGGAAGAACAAAUGUGUAAGUAACUAUGCACGUCUUGACGGUACCUAAUCAGAAAGCCACGGCUAACUACGUG
rnacentral:rRNA from 1 species